GGAACUUUAAAAAGCUUGAAAACACAUUAAUAUCUAGACAUGAAAGAAGAGAACAAACUCCAAAAUCCACAUUUUAGUAUUUCAUAGGAAAGGCAAUAUGCCUUCUCAAGGUUGGGUUUGCCUAAAUUGCAAUUGCUUCAAGCAGUUAAGGUUAAAGAAAAAAAAGGAGGCAUAAAAGAAAAAAGAGAAGGAUUUGGAAUGUAUAGGGAGCCAAACACAGCAACUAAAAGAAAUUCAAUUAAUCACCAGCU
rnacentral:misc_RNA from 1 species